UUUUGGUCCUUGUAGGGAAGCCUUGUCUGUCCCACAUCUCUGACUUAAUAAUAUGUGGUUUUGCUGUUUUUAUGGGACCGGUGACCUAAUGAAAGAACUGAUUUCUAUCUCUUAUUGUUGUACCCGUGAAACAAUCUGCAUUAUGUCUGUGCUUUUUAAGAUGUUGUAAGUGUUGGAUAAUUGUCAUGGUCCUAUUCUUUAUUGAAACAUAAUAAAGCAUUACUUUUUUUUAUUUCCUUCUUUACAAUGUAUUACUUUUUGAACACAAAAAAGGUGGUCUGGUGGUGUAAUUUUUUGCUGGAUUGUCUGUUGGCUGCAUGAGUCCAUUCUGCUGAAAUGACUCCUAAAAAGCUUCAAGAUUUGCAUGUACACACUUACUUUUAUUUAUUCUGCGGUGUUAUUUAAAUUUACUAUGAAUAUAAAUUUGAGCUAUUUUUACUUUGUUCUGGAAGGGUUGUCAAAUAAAUGCUAUCCUAUACAGUAGCUAUAUACUGUCUUUCUUGGCAGGAGUUAUCCUCUGGGAAUUAUACCUGUGUGUAGUGCACAGGUUUGGAGAUUUUUGCUGGUCAGCUAUUUCUCAAUUUGUUUGAUCCUCCCCCUCUUUUUCCUAUUUCCAAUGCCUCUUACUAUACAAUGCUUCUUGAAUGUGAAAAGGUUUUGCUUGGUAAUUUUGCACAUUUUUGCAUUUGAGCCAUCACUGGUUUUUUUUGUUUGUCCUUUCUCACCACUUUUCUGAAAAGUUCUCAUUCUCAGGGGAGAUGAUAAUGGGGACUUUUAGAUUUACUUUUCUCCCUCUGUAGAUCGUUUGUAUGCAUGUUAUUUAAUACAGGUUAUGCCACCAUACAGAUUGGCCACCACCCUGAUACGUAUUUUCAUUUGCAGAUAGCCAGGCAGUGUAUACAUCUGUUUAUACCUAUUAAUUCGAAAUUAUUUGUUCUACAGGUAUAGGCAACACCUAUUUAUCUUUGAAUUGCCACACUGAUGAUGGUUGUAGGACAGAUGAAACUCUUCCAGUUAUCGUGGAAGCAACCAAGAGCCAUGCAGGCACCCACUCACCAGUGGGACUGAGGAGAGAAUCAAAAGGGGUCCUUCACUUUCUAAGUAUUCUUAAGACAAACUCAGAUGAAGAACUACAACAGGUAUCAGUCUAAUUUGUUCCUAAGCAAUACUUUAGCUUCAAAAGAAUAAACUCCACAGAUUAUUUAGAGUAAAUUUUUAUUAUGGCAAAUUUUACAUAGAAUCCUUGUAGAUAUGACAGCAAUAUAAAAGUACAUAGAACACAUUCAUGCAUUACAGUGUGCUUGGGUUAUUCAGGGAAAUACUCUAUAUUUCAAGGCUGUCUGUGUAAUGCUUACCAAAUUUAUCUUUUCCCAUACCAUGUAGUUUAAUUUUCUUGGUUUUAUUUUAGCAUGCUUUAUUUGUGUAUUGCUUUUUUAAACUUCUUACCAGCAUCAGUGGGUACAAAUUAACAGUGUGUAUAUUAUUGAAGUAUUAGGACACUUCUGAAGAUAGACAAAAUUAAACCAAAAGGAGAAGCAAACAACCUGUUUUCAGGAACUCAAACAUUUCAAUGUUAUGAAAAAGUGAAAAGGAGUUCUAAGCAAUCUGAAUUCACUAAAUUCUGAAAUAACACUUCAUUUCCUAUAUGACAUCUUUUACUUUAUGGCCAGUCUCAUGUUUAAUGGUCAGUGUUGCAGGACAGGUUGGGGAUGGCAGGAAUGACUGAGAGAGUGCCUCCACUUCUUUGCUCACUCUAGGAGUGCCAGCAAUUCAGCACUUCUCUUCCCCUCUGCAUCUGCUUUCAAUCUCUCAUCCUGACUUUCCUCCCAACACUCCCGUCCAUCCCCAAAGGCAACCAUCCCCUUGAGGAGGCUGUUGAAACAAUGUGAUUUUCAAAUUUGUUUUCUCUUUAAUGAUCUGCUUUUCUUUUCAGGAAAGCUGUUAGCUGAGCUGAAGGAGUCACUGAUCUCUCAGUGGAUCUGCCAGCACAUGUAUUUUUACAUCCUUAGGAGAAUUAAUAUUAACUUAGAAACUCUCUGUGGUAUGUUUUUUAAAUCAGCUAAAAGUAUCCUGAUGGAAAUACUGAAAUCACAGAUACAGAUUUGGUUCAUCUCCUAAAGCAAAACCUUAUGAUACUGCUACUUUAUUUAGAUGAAACAUUUGUGAGGGAAAGGAAUUAUUCUUUUUUGCAUCAUCUUCCUAGGGAGAUGAGCAUCCCAGAGCACUCUCAUAUGAAAUGUACAAGCCCAGCUAAAAAUAGAGAUGGAUUUUUGCUGAGAGUGAUGAUCAACACGACUAGAUACCACAGAACUUGUCUAAUUCCACUGAGAGGAAAAGAAAAUACUUUUGAAAGCUGCAGCACAAGCAAAAUUAAGGCUUUGUGCACCCUACUGACAUGGAGACUCCAAGCUGUCAAUCCCUGUGCAGCCCCUGUGGUUAUCCGCACACAAUAAAGGAGAAUCGCACCCUCCACACCUCAGUGUGCACCUAAAUUACUAUCAGAAUCUUUAAAUUUUCAUUUCUUUACUUUUUUCCAGCUAUGGCUUCCAAUUUCACUGCCUGUCCUCCCCUUGUGCCUGAUUCCCAACUCACUCUUCAGAACUCUCUCACCACCAUUUUCCACCUUUACUGCACCUUCCAAUUUGAUUCUAAUAAAAAAAAUCUUCCACAUUUGAAAACUAUAAAUAAAUUGGACAAAUGCAUUCAAUGCUCAGAAGCACUACAAUGAAUGUUACUUGAAUGUCUAGAAUCACCAGAAAAGGAAAAGAGAAUAAACCAGGAUUUUGUAUCUUUGUGCCAUUGUAGCAUUGUGUGAAAUAGUUCCACCCAGCAGUGUGCACAUUUCUGGCCUCUAAAUAAAUAAACUAUUGCAAGAGGCAAAGAAAUUUCUGAGAGAAGUGAUAAAGCUGAUUUAAUGCUUAAAAUGGCUUUUCUAUUAAGCAUACUAGGACACCUUCAGAUCAAUGACCACUGAGUGAAUAUGUUCUUGCUUACCUUUACUACCUAGGAGGUCAGUAGUUAAAUAUAUCAAACUUAUGAAGUCUAAUCUAAUCAUAAAAUUAGUUACAGCCAAAGGGUUAUUGACAUCAGAAAUGCUGUCUAAAUUUCCUAGGCAGUUUUUAAAAGUAAAUAGAUCCUUACUCUAUAGGUUUUUUUCAAAUCAGAGAGAAGAGAGAAAGAUGUUGUGUGGAAAGAAGAUAUUGGUGCCAUCUCUCUCCUCACAGAAAUCAAUUCUGGACUACACAGCUGCUUACACAAGCCUUAACACUGGUGGUAAAUAGUUCAUAAACUGAUCCAUUUCACUACAUGCAUGUCCUUAGGAUCAAGUUUGGUUUUUUGGUAAGGUAAAAAACCAAAACCAAAUCCUCUCCCCAAAAAACACCAGUCCCAAACAAAAAAAGUGAUUCUACCCUUUCCUCCCUCCCAACCGCGGCCAAAACAUAAAACCAAACUAACAAACAAAAAACUCACCCUCAAAAAAGCUCCUAUUUGCGUCCUUAACGUCUGCUUUUUUGUGUUUUCCCUGGGUUUCCAGGUUGCUGGCACCCUGGUUUGUGCUGGUAUUCUCAUGAUUCCCUCAGAAAAUACUUGUGAAGGCCAUAAAGGAAUCCCACGACAGGAAAAACCUGUAGCUUCUACAGGAAGAGGACUUGUUUUCUAUUUAAGAGAAAAGAGGCAUCAUUUGUAUGCAGAGUGCAGAGGCCUGAAACAAUCAAACCCCUCCAAGAUUUGAUACCCAGAGGUGCCUCUUGAGGAGGAGAAAAGGUUUGUUUGCAUCAGCCCUGUUACUGUGGCAGGGCUGUUUCUGUACCUGCAGCCAUGCAUUGAGUGUUCCAGGACGGAAUGGGCGAGGAGAGGGGAAGGAUGAAAUGAUCAGGAGCUCCUGACAGAAGUAUUUUAUCAUGUAGGAUGGACCAUUGAUCUCUCAGCUUUGAAGCCUGCAGAACCAAAAUAAUAUUUUCUAACGGAGCAAGCUGGAACAUCCCAAAUGCUCCUUGGGUUGUUUUGGUUUUGUGGUGGGUUGUUUAGGGCUUUAUUUGUUUGUUUUUGUUCGGUAGUUGGGGUUUUUCCCGCUUUAGGCCGGGCAGCAGCCACGGUAUAACAAAACAGCAGUAAAAAAA